GCCCUGAGCCGAAGGCAGACGCUCAACCGCCGUGCCACCCAGGCGCCCCUGGAGGCCUAUCCUGUCCCCCGUCUGCCCUGCCCCGUCCCUGCCCCCGCACUGGCUGCUCACCUGGCUCUUGUGGAUGGAUAUUGCCCAGGCCAGCUGGAGGGGCAGCUGCCGCCGGCUGAGGAGCUGGCCCCCAGUAGCCUGCACAGUCCAGCGGUCAGCAUGGAUGACCUCAGUGACUCCGCACAGGAAGCGCACCUGGGGCAGCCCUGAGGGAGGCGUGGAGAAGUCCCACCUUUUGGCCUUGCUGCAGGGCUCAGAGGUGAGGAGCAGGCCUUACCCCUUCAUCCUAGCCUUCUCCUCGCAUGUACCCCAGGGUCUGCUGCAAACCCAAGCAGUGGGACUGGUCUCCCAUCGCUUACCUCUCCCCUCGGUCUCGAACCCGAUGACCACCCCCCGGGCACCAUUCACCAGGCCCCGGGACACUGCUAAGUUCUUCACUAACAUCACCUGCAAGGGAAAGCGAACUUGAGGCACGGACAGCAGCCCAUUCCCACACCUGGCCUCAGCUCCAGCAGUCGCUGCGGCAAUUCCAGGCGGCUGGGGGCACUCCCGGAGAGGCACUGAGUCCUAAUCCUUAACUCUGUCACCGGCUGACUGUGACCCCUGUGGCAAGCUGCUUUAUUUUCCCCGGUCUCAGGUGCCCCUAGAGUCAAAGGGGAAUGACAUUUGCUGUUUGCCUCAGGAGGGGGUAAGGAACAAUAAGGUAAUGGACAUCACAAGGCUCUAAAAAUGACUAUGUCUGUUAUGGGGUAUGCGUAUAGGCCGACAUCGUGAGGGAUAGCCCCAGGUCCUGUCACCCUCUUCCAGCCCCUAAGUGCCCUUCAGAACCUGAGGAAAGUCUCCCAUUUGGCCCACCCCAACAUCAUGGGAAGAAGCAGGGCUCUCUCACACCAUAAAGAUGCAGAAACUGAGCUUCAGCAAGGGAAAGGGGCUUGUCCAAAGCAUUGUUGCUGGUGCCCCAGGCCUAGCAAGAAGAGGGCAGUGGGAGGCUGAAGAUAGGAAGGCAGUGGGAGCAGGAGGGAGGGAGUACACUGGGGUCGCGGCUGGGCCCUCUGGCUAUGGAGCUGCCUGGGCCGAGGGGAAAGACCGGGAAGCCCAGGCCCCCCAGGUCUUGGCUCUGCUUCCCACUCACCUGGGCCCCCAGCUUUAGUUGAAGGAUCUGGCUAACUGGACACUGGGCAUCCAGGGUCCGGGCUUGCUCAGGGUCACUGUCCAUGGCCUUAAAGCUGUGUACCUCACCUAGGAAAAAAGAGUUGGGCAAACAGAUUACAAGUCACUGACUUGUGGCUCAGUUUCUAAAACCAUGUAUUAGACCAGGGUGUAGAAGGUGGUAGUGGGGACAGAUCAGGCUGGGGCUUUGGAAUCAAGGGCCUGGGUUCAAGUGUCACUUCCAGUAUUUAUUGGCUCAGUGACCUUGACCUGUUCAAGGUCACACCUCUCAAAGUCACAGUUACAUCUGCAAAUGUAAGGGCCUUUAUGGCUAGAGAGGUUGGGGGCCUAAAUACCCAAAUGGCCCCAAAGGCCCAUGCUGUUGGGUGGGGGUGGGGGACCAAUACCUGCCUGAUGGGCCCUCCCAGCUGGUCUUGCCCAGCCCUGGCUCCCUGCUCACCUGGCAGUUCCCGCAGUCGCCUCUCAUUGGUGAGGGCCACAUCAUCCUGGUGAGUGCAGAGCCUUGUGGCCACAAUCCCAUCUCGCCCCACCUUGUGGGAGGCUGUGGCCUGGAGCUGGCGGGUCACUUCAUCUGAGCACCUGUAGGGGCUGGGCUAUCAGGGCAGAGCCCACCUGAACACCAGGAAAGGCAGGGCACAUGGCUGAUAUGGCCCAAGCAGUAGGCCAUGGGUCAGACUUGGGGAUUAGAAAGGGGCACCAGGCCAAAAUGUGCUGGCCCCCAGGCCAAAAUGUGCUGGCCCCCAGGCUGGCCAACUUGCCUUUCCCCACCUGGACCCCAGACAUGGGGAAUGAUCAUGGGCAGGCACCCUUUCCUGUGAAUGGCCCCAGAUAGGAGCUAGCCACUCUCCCACCGCAGUGCUCCUGAGGAAGUUGGAUAUGACAAGUGAGCCCAGGCCAGAGGUUCAGAGGACCUGGACAAGGCACUGAUGUUGAUACCCUGUCAUACUGGUAGACUAUAAUCAGACUGGCCUCCUGGCUACAAUCUUCUAGCCUCUUGCUUGCUGCCUUGGGGGCAAAAAUCUAGCCUGUGCUUUUCUUUAUUUCUUCCUUUCUUUUUUAAGUUUGGUUAUUUAUUUAUUUAUUUAUUUAUUUUUAUUUAAAUUCAAUUAGCCAAUGUAUAGUACGUCAUUAGUAUUUGAUAUAAUGUUUAAUGAUACUUAUUUAUCUAUUUAAGUAAUCUCUACACCCAAUGUGGGGUUCAAACUCCUAACCCCAAGAUCAAGACCCACUUGCUUCUCUGACUGAGCCAGUCAGGUGCCCCUAGCCUAUGUUUCUAUUUCAAGCCUUCAUCCACAUGGAGAAGCCUGGGUGCAACAGCAAAUAACAUGGGAGAAGGGGGAAUAACUUAAGACCUACAUCUCUCUUUGCUCUGCCACUCAAUCUUCCCCUUGUUCCCCACAUAUGUGGGUGUGUGCUGUGUACCUUCCUAGCUGCCUCAUAUGUCUGUGACAGGGGUCCCUAAGCAUAGAAAGUCCCUCAUUACCACCACCUCCUCCCCCCAUCCUGUCCCAAUCUGGUUUUCAAGGACUACCUGGUCUUCUACCUUCCUGGCCUCCUGCAUGCUGGCACAUUAGAGUAGUCCUGGCAUUUCAACUUUUUGUCCUAGCUGGGGUGGGAUCGUGCCUGCAAACUCUCUCCCUCACCAAGUGACCCCACAGGCUCUAAGGGUGGAAGGAACUUGGGUUUUAGAGUCAGGCCAGGUUCAAAACCCAGCCUAGUCAUUUACUGGCUGGAACCUGGGGCAAGUCACUUCACCCUUCUGAACCCUCUGUUUCUGCAUCUAUGAAAUAGGAGUGUUAACAUCUCUGAUUUCUUCUUGUGUAUCUAUGUGCCCAUAUUCCCUGACACCUACUCUGUGCUGGGUGAUGGGGACCCAACCUUGGAGGAGGCAGGGUCCCAGUGCUCAGAGAGUGACCAUCUUCUAUGGGGCCAUGAAGCACUUUUCCUCCUUCUCUGGGUCCCUGUGCUCCUCCAUAACCCAUGCUUGAAUCCUCAUCCCAUGGUCCCUUCUCUGUUCACCAGAGCCCACCUUCCCAGCCUGACAGCCUGCAGCAGAGAGAUGAAGGUCUGGUCUGCCUGCCUCCGCACCUCGGUCAGCUCCAGGGUGACUGGGACACACCUUCUCCAGCUCUUGGCCUGGUGGGGACAAGCUUGUCAAACAGGUCUGCCUCCACCAUGGAGAUCUCAUCGAUGACUAGCCGCUGGCAGUUCAGCCAGCCCUGCCUCACAGCUGGACGCUGGGCCAGGGCCACACACUGGGCCAGGGGAGCCUGGCCUGAGCCGAUGCCUGCAAGUGAUACUAUUCGGCCUGAGACCCUAGCCCUGUCCCAACCUUGACACCCUCUCCCUUCUCACAGGCCUGGCUGGCUUCCAGCUCAAGCCCCAGAGGUCCCCGCUUACCUGCAAAGGCAUGGAGGGUGGUACCCCCGAUAUGGCAGGCUGCCACCCCAGUGCUGGCAGUAGCCACAGUACCUGUGGGAGGCAGUGAGCCCAGGAUACGCUUCAGCAGAUAAGACUUCCCUGUCCCUGGGCAGAGGGUAAAGUCAAGGUCACCAGCUCCUGCAUCUUACCCCAUCACUGCCCCCCCCCACUGACCCCCAGUACCUGCACUCCCAGUGAAGAAGAUGCUCUGGCCUUUCAGGACAACCCUCAGCACAGCAGCCUGUUCCUCAGAAAGCUGUGGUUUGGUGGGAGGCAGGCUCAGCCUCUUCACAGGCAAGGGCCACCUUGGGGCUUCCUGUGGGGGGGACAGGACUGUCUCAGGGCUUCCUACUACUGUUAGGCAUUGCCCCUCCCUUCUUAGCCCGGGUGCCAUGCUAGGCCUGGUAGCCCUUUGUGUCUCUGCUGGUUUCACUCCUUGAAGCCCGUGGGCAGCUUUGGUUCCCCUGGAGAUCUUACCAGUAACUACUCGGGGCCAGGUCUCUCCUUGAGGAAGGGAUCAUGGCUGGGUCUCCACUGAUCCCUGGUGCCCUGGUGACUGCCCUAUGUGGGUCUAGAUCCUCCCUUCGUUCCCUCCCCUGUUCUCCCUAAAUCUCUUGGUUCUCUCAUAAGGUCCUUCCUUCUCAUUUCUCUUCCUGUCACAAACCUGCCUGCCUCAGCGCAAAACCCUGCCUGCCCGGGGCCCUUUCUUGCUCCUUCUUCUCCCCAGCUUAGUCUCAAAUCCCUGUGGUCUGUGAUCCAUCUGCCCCAGUUCACAAACACUGCAAGACCUUCCAGACUUUGUCCACCCGAACUGAUCAGACCUGUUGGCGGCGCCUGACACUGCUGACCACUUCUCUCCAAAAGCUCCUCUCCUUCUCCAGGCCCAACAGCCUCCUACCUUCUCUUCUGAAGUCACCUUUCUAGGCCUCCUUCUCUACUUUCUCUUUUACCGUGACGUAGGCCCUCUUCUCCUAGUCUAGCUUACUCGGGGAUUGCGCUCAGGAACACGCGCACAAUUCCCACAUCCCUGUCAUACUCAGAUGUCCGAUGGGCAUCUCCUCUGAGAUAACCAGCAACCCCCUCCCAUACUGCCACCAUCUUCCCCCCUAAACUGGGGCCUCCUGGGUCUCCUCCACCUCGGGCACACCCACUCCCUGAGGCGUCCCCCCUUCCUGUCCUCACAGCGCUGGGCUCGGCUCCGGCCCGGGGUUCCGUGGGGCGCUUCACGGGCGUGGCGUGCGGGACCCGGGUGGCCACCGCGCGCCGCAGCUCCUCGGGCUGCACGGGGCUGACGGUGACGAAGUCGCGGGGCCGCGGGCCAAGCAGCUGCGCGCGGGCGGAGGCCGGCCCAGGCCCCGGGGCUGCGGCCAGCUUGAGGCGCAGCGUGCGCAGGAAGCGUCGCAGGCGGUCGGGGGCAGGUCGGAGAGCAGCAGCUGCACAGCGCCCGCCCCGGGAACGCCGUGGGUGGGGAGCCGCAGCGUGCUGCGCCCGGCCGCGGCGAAGCGCGUGAAGAGGCGCGCCGCCCGCAGAGGGAAGCAGCGCGGCCGCCCCGCGGGCCCAGGCGCCUGCAGCCGCAGCAGCAACUCGCGGCGCUCGUUCCGUCCCAGGCUCAGCUCCGCGGUGCGUAAGGCCUGGCGCUUUCGCGGCUGCCCGCCCGGGCUCAACUCCUCCACAGCCACGCGGCACCGCAGCUCCGCGUCCUCGAAUUCCGCUGGCGCUGCCUGGGUGCCCGACAGCAUCGCCACUGCCUCCGCAGAUCUGCAAAAAGCCGGGAGCUCAGGGGUCACGAGGACUCAGUGGACCUAACAGGGAGCCCGAUCAAGGCCACAUAGGGUCACGGAGGCUGUCACCGGUAACACAAAGAGGUCGCGGAGACGGUAAAAGGGCCCUGGGAUCAACCGAAAUUCACGUAGACUCUCGUACACAGUAAUUUCCAGAGCGGUGAUGCGCAGCGUCAAAAGCACCCAGGAAUGGGGAGCCUCGGCUGUCGGACCAGAGCUGCGCAAGCAGGCUCCUCAACAAAAAAGAAGCCUUCUUGCAAGAAGCCCAGGGAGGGCGAGGGAAUCCUGAGUCCUCUCCCAAGGAAGCAGCGGAAGCUCAGGUGGAAAGAUGAGCAGGGACCUUCUGUCUUCCAGAUACUUUCAGUGGUUUGUAGGCAGCCAGGCCAAUCUCACUAUUCCCCGUGAACGGAAGUGGAAACAGACUGGGACAGGUUACAA